UGACGUCAGACCCCACAUACAGAGACUUACUGUAUUUUUUAAAAUUGCUGUAUACUACUGUAACGGUCUCUUUGGCGCCAUUAUACUGAGGUCGUUUUAUUUUCCUAAUUUCUUACAUUUGGAUUGACACAAUUUGCCCUACACCGUGUCUAUAACGCCGCAGCAGCUUGGGACUGACUACUGGAUGUGUUACAUCGCUUCUAAAGAUGGGAAAAUCCGUUUAUACUUUGUGUCAGAAACAGCGCAAGCGCUUGGAGUACAUCAGUACAUCAGAAAUAUACCGGGGCAUCACAUUACUGUCCGCAUCCACUGUAGAUAAUAUAUAUAAUUGGUUCUAUAUUGUUUUUUAUCGAGUCGCGCCUCGCCGCGCCACUCGCGUCCGAGGAAGACACGGAAGCAGCGGGCAGCGCCGGGGAUGAACCUGCCAGAGUGGAAGAGCUCCGAAGAACAUCUGCGCUGUGUGUCGAUGCACUUUACGAGAGAAUAAGACCAGCAAGCAAGGCAACUGCAAUGAAGCAUCAAGAAAGACAUGAACAUGCCAGCCACCCUGAGACUGAUAAUUCAUGAGAAGACAUUUCUGUCAAAGUGGAUGGUGAGCAAAGAUGGUGGCCACGUUUUGGAGCAGCACCUGGGUUUUGAAGACGGCUAUGUAUUCUUUGGCUGCUUGUCUUUUUCCCCCCAUUAUGUUUCUGUUGCCUAAAGAUUAUUUGUGAGGAUGAAUCCAGAGGACACAACAUAAUGCACUGCAAAACGUCCUAAGACAGGAGAAAUGGCAGGGGCUUAAAUUUCAUCUGACAGUAGGGGGGGACAAUAAACAUAAAAUUUCUCAAGAGCAAUUUUUGAAGGGGACACAAAUAAUACAGCCAAAAUUGUACUUGCAAGGAUAGAUAUGUGUACACAGCAUGUGUACAUAGCAUGGAGACCGUGUUUAAAUAUGAGUUCAUGGUUCACCACGCGGUCAUAUUAUAAUUAUUAUUUUACGUCAUCCAUAGUAUUUUAGGUUUCGUCUCUUUCGCAUUAAUUCAACCGCAUUAAACCCACUGAUCUGCCACUUAACAUCAUAGUGAACGAAACCCAACACAUAGGUCUACAAUAUUAGCCUUAUAUCAGUUCACACACAGGCUUAUCGCCAUGUUAGUUGUAGUGGGUGACAAGCUACGAUAUUAAGCUUGUCAAACUUAUAAUCGCUCAUAGAAAAUA